GGGAUUGCCUCAGUAACGGCGAGUGAAGCGGCAACAGCUCAAAUUUGAAAUCCGGCCCCCUCGGGGGGCCCGAGUUGUAAUUUGCAGAUUGUGCUUUUGGCGAGGCGCCUUCCGAGUUCCCUGGAACGGGACGCCACAGAGGGUGAGAGCCCCGUCUGGUCGGCCGCCAAGCCUCUGUAAAGCACCUUCGACGAGUCGAGUAGUUUGGGAAUGCUGCUCAAAAUGGGAGGUAUAUGUCUUCUAAAGCUAAAUACCGGCCAGAGACCGAUAGCGCACAAGUAGAGUGAUCGAAAGAUGAAAAGCACCUUGAAAAGGGGGUUAAACAGUACGUGAAAUUGUUGAAAGGGAAGCGCUCGCGACCAGACUUGGGCCCGGCGGAUCACCCAGCGUUCUCGCUGGGGCACUCCGCCUCGUCCCAGGCCAGCAUCGGUUCGCGCCGGGGGACAAAGGCGGCGGGAACGUGGCUCCCCCGGGAGUGUUAUAGCCCGCCGCGCAAUGCCCUGGGGCGGACCGAGGAUUCGCGCAUCUGCAUGGAUGCUGGCGUAAUGGUCACCAGCGACCCGUCUUGAAACACGGACCAAGGAGUCGUCUUCGUAUGCGAGUGUUCGGGUGUCAAACCCUACGCGUAAUGAAAGUGAACGCAGGUGAGAGCUUCGGCGCAUCAUCGACCGAUCCUGAUGUUCUCGGAUGGAUUUGAGUAGGAGCAUACGGGGCCGGACCCGAAAGAAGGUGAACUAUGCCUGUGUAGGGUGAAGCCAGAGGAAACUCUGGUGGAGGCUCGCAGCGGUUCUGACGUGCAAAUCGAUCGUCAAACAUGGGCAUGGGGGCGAAAGACUAAUCGA
rnacentral:rRNA from 1 species